AAUGCUUUCGUUUCCCCGGGUGUAAAUAGCCAGGGGGAAUUAGUACCCUUUGCGCCGUCAGCUAGGGGAUAAUAGAGGCACGAGGUCAUGAGGCAUGUGACCAGCCGCAGCCAGGGUCUUUUACGAGUUGGUGCUGGACAAAUUCUAGAGCUUUUAGCUCAUAGUUUUGCGUCUGUUUUGUACUUUAGGGGGCUUCGGUGGCCAAGUGGUUAGCGCACUUGCCUUUCACCUCUGAGGCUGCAGGUUCGAGUCUCACUAAGUACCCUCUCAGUGCGACUCGAACCCAGUCCCCAUGUGAAAAGAGUAAAAGUCAACACUCUGCCGAAAGCCGUGGGUUUUCCCCGGGUACUCCGGUUUCCUCCCACAGGGAAAGUUGACAUGGUGGGUUAGGUAAAAAGGGCCCACAGUAAUUGGC